CUAAUCGGUCGCUAAAUCGUUCUCUAGUUUAAAUAAAAGGAAGUUACCGAGUCAAUCUAACCCUAACCUAGCCACGCCAUCCUCACACUUCUCACUAACCCUAAUGUGGCCACUGUCGGAAGCACAACACCCUCUUCAUUUGCGUCGUCGUCACCGUCGCCGCCAUCGUCUAUUGCCUGAAGCCUUCAACCUUCUUUGUCAUUGCUCACCUUCUCUGUCGCUAGCUCAUUGUCUCUCACCUUCUUCUCGCUGUCAAGCUUUUACGAUUUCUCUAAGCUUGAUCUCGAUCUAACUCUAACGAUCUCUCUCACCUUGAUUUCGACCUCACUUUCCGCUGCCGCUUUUAACUCACACCGCCUUUCCUUAUUACUCCAUCACAAGAAUAGAACAAGCAUACAAUUGUUAUCGCAGAACUUUGCUUCUUGUUGUUGCAUAUAAUCUGAGGAAGGACUUGGUGCAGCAUGGAGAAUAUGAGUAUUUUUGUGUGAAUCAGCCUUUGAAAAUGAAAAAUGUAGGGCAAGAGAAAACUAGAUGAAGAUCAAGCAUCAAAGAUGGUGUCACAUGGAUUUAUUUCAAAUUUUGGAUUUUGGAGCAUUGAGAACUUGUCUUCCAUAGAUUUCUGAGAGGAUGAGAUUUCUAAAUUGAAUGUGGAAUGAUAUAUUGAACAACUUUAACAGUAUGUAUGUGUGGUAGUUUUCCUGAAUAUUAAGCAGUAACAAAGGAGCUUCAUUUUGAUUUAUUGAGCAUCUCCCGCCCUCUCUAUCUAUCUUGGAAAAGUUAUUAUGGUUUAUUGUUUUUACUCAUUUAGUGCACUCUGUUUCAUUUUCGUUCUGAUUUUAGUUUGUCACUCUACAGAUUAUUUGUACAAAAUAAUAUAAUUCCUUUCAAUUUUUUCUGGCUGCUGAUGCGUUAAUUGUUAGGCUUUUAAUAUUAUGUGCUAAAUUCAUUGGUGAUAUUGUGUGAUCAUGCAAAGAGAUCUAUGGCAUAGAAUCUGAUUUAAACUUCACCUCCAUUAUGAAUCAACAUUCACUAGAGAUAAUUCUACAAAAAUCACACUGAUUGAUUGUAUUUACUCAGAUUGCAAUGAUGAUGUAGGAUGAUUGACAAAGAGUUCGAGAAAAGUUAAAUGUAGAUGCAACUAGAAAAGGUUUUGGAGAGCUAGCUCUUUGAAGUUGAUAAUGAGAUAAAGAAUACUAGUUCUUCUGCUGCUUGUUAAUAUCGUAAAGUUCACAAGUUUAUUUCAACUACUAAGAGUGAGGGUGCAACAGUUUUAACUGGAGGGUCGGUCUCUUCUUGAAGUAUGAUAUCAUUACACUCUGAUGUUUGCAAUUGGGAAUAUCUUUAAUGAAUUUUCUUUCUUUAAAUUAAUUAAUGACAUUGACAGCACUUAAA